AAUAAAGUGCCUGACAAAAGGAUUAUCUUGAUAGGGUAAAUUAUAUACAAACUUUGUAUCUUUAUUA
rnacentral:tRNA from 1 species